AGAAGGAUGGUCCAAUGAUUAGGAUGCUAGCCUCGGAUUUAGGAGACCUGGGUUCAAUUCCCUGCUCUUCCA
rnacentral:tRNA from 1 species